rnacentral:pre_miRNA from 1 species
UACAAUAUUUUGACUUUUUGUUUUAUUUAAAAUAUUUUUGUGAUUAAUAAUUUUAUUGUUACUGGAUGGUAAAACAUGAAUAACAUUUUAUGCUUGACUAAUUUUUUUAAGUUUUUAUAUAAAUUUUUUAAAUAAGACGAAUAGUUCAAGCGUUGGACA